rnacentral:rRNA from 1 species
GUCCUAGCUGUAAACGAUGGGCACUGGGUAGAGGUGGAUCGAUACCAUCCCUGCCGAAGCAAAUGUGUUAAGUGCCCCGCCUGGGGAGUACGGUCGCAAGGCUAAAACUCAAAGGAAUUGACGGGGCUCACACAAGCGGUGGAGCAUGUGGUUCAAUUCGAAGCAACGCGAAGAACCUUACCCGGGUUUGAAAUCUACGGAUGGGUCCGGCGAAAGUCGGAUACCCUGCCCGCAAGGGUGAAACGUAGACAGGUGUUGCAUGGCUGUCGU